CCUACGGGAGGCAGCAGUAGGGAAUAUUGCUCAAUGGGGGAAACCCUGAAGCAGCAACGCCGCGUGAAGGAUGACUGUUUUCGGAUUGUAAACUCCUUUUGUUAGAGAAGAUAAUGACGGUAUCUAACGAAUAAGCACCGGCUAACUCCGUGCCAGCAGCCGCGGUAAUACGGAGGGUGCAAGCGUUAUUCGGAAUCACUGGGCGUAAAGAGCGCGUAGGCGGGUUAGCAAGUCAGAUGUGAAAUCCUAUGGCUUAACCAUAGAAAUGCAGUUGAAACUGUUAGUCUAGAGUAUGGUAGAGGUAGGUGGAAUUCUUGGUGUAGGGGUGAAAUGCGUAGAGAUCAAGAGGAAUACUGAUUGCGAAGGCGACCUGCUAGAACAUAACUGACGCUGAUGCGCGAAAGCGUGGGGAGCAAACAGGAUUAGAUACCCGGGUAGUC
rnacentral:rRNA from 1 species